rnacentral:rRNA from 1 species
CUGGUUGAUCCUGCCAGUAGUCAUAUGCUUGUCUCAAAGAUUAAGCCAUGCAUGUAUAAGUUCACACCUUCAAACGGUGAAACCGCGAAUGGCUCAUUAAAUCAGCUAUGGUUCCUUAGAUCUUACAUCCUUACUUGGAUAACUGUAGUAAUUCUAGAGCUAAUACAUGCUACAAAGCCCUGACUUAACGAAGGGGUGGAUUUAUUAGAACAAAACCAACCGGUUUCGGCCGUUGGCUUGAUGACUCUGGAUAACUUUUCUGAUCGCACGGCCUAGUGCCAGCGACGUAUCUUUCAAAUGUCUGCCCUAUCAACUAUCGAUGGUAGGUGAUAUGCCUACCAUGGUUAUGACGGGUAACGGGGAAUCAGGGUUCGAUUCCGGAGAGGGAGCCUUAGAAAUGGCUACCACAUCUAAGGAAGGCAGCAGGCGCGCAAAUUACCCACUCUCAGCUCGAGGAGGUAGUGACGAAAAAUAACUAUGCGGGACUCUUACGAGGCCCCGCAAUGGGAAUGAGUACAAUUUAAAUCCUUUAACGAGGAACAAUUGGAGGGCAAGUCUGGUGCCAGCAGCCGCGGUAACUCCAGCUCCAAUAGCGUAUAUUAAAGUUGCUGCAGUUAAAAAGCUCGUAGUUGGAUCUCAGGCAAGGAGCUCGUGGUUCAUCUUUAGAUGUGACUGCGAGUUUCCGCCUAAUCAGCCGUUUGUUAUGCCAUGUGCGUUUAACCGCGUGCGUGGUAUACUCGGCACGUUUACUUUGAAAAAAUUAGAGUGCUCAAAGCAGGCCUUGUGCUUGAAUACUGUUGCAUGGAAUAAUAGAAUAGGACUUCGGUUCUAUUUUGUUGGUUUUCGGAAUCGAGGUAAUGAUUAAAAGAGACAGACGGGGGCAUCUGUAUGGUGGUGUUAGAGGUGAAAUUCGAUGAUCGCCGCCAGACAAACAACUGCGAAAGCAUUUGCCAAGGAUGUUUUCAUUAAUCAAGAACGAAAGUCAGAGGUUCGAAGACGAUCAGAUACCGUCCUAGUUCUGACCAUAAACGAUGCCAACUGACGAUCGGGGUUUUUUAUUUUUUUGAACCCCGGCAGUCCCUGGGAAACNUUUAAGUCUAUCGGUUCUGGGGGGAGUAUGGUUGCAAAUCCGAAACUUAAAGGAAUUGACGGAAGGGCACCACCAGGAGUGGAGCCUGCGGCUUAAUUUGACUCAACACGGGAAAACUCACCCGGCCCGGACACUGUGAGGAUUGACAGAUUGAUAGCUCUUUCUUGAUUCAGUGGGUGGUGGUGCAUGGCCGUUCUUAGUUCGUGGAGUGAUUUGUCUGGUUAAUUCCGAUAACGAACGAGACUCUAGCCUGCUAACUAGUUACCACGUAAUCAUUGCGUGGACUAACUUCUUAGAGGGAUUCGCUACUUAUAGUGGCAUGAAAAGGAGCAAUAACAGGUCUGUGAUGCCCUUAGAUGUUCGGGGCCGCACGUGCGCUACACUGACGAUAUCAAUGAGUAUCUUCCUGAGCCGAAAGGUUCGGGAAAUCUUUUGAAUCAUCGUCAUGUCAGGGAUUGGGGCUUGUAAUUAUUCCCCAUGAACGAGGAAUUCCCAGUAAGCGCAAGUCAUAAGCUUGCGUUGAUUACGUCCCUGCCCUUUGUACACACCGCCCGUCGCUACUACCGAUUGAAUGGCUUAGUGAGGCCUUUGGAUUGAAAUCGAAGAAGCGGUUCUCCGUUUAAUCGAUUUCGAGAAAAUCGUCAAACUUGGUCAUUUAGAGGAAGUAAAAGUCGUAACAAGGUUUCCGUAGGUGAACCUGCAGAUGGAUC